UACGGAGGGUGCAAGCGUUAUCCGGAUUCACUGGGUUUAAAGGGUGCGUAGGUGGGCUUGUAAGUCAGUGGUGAAAUCUCCGUGCUUAACAUGGAAACUGCCAUUGAUACUAUAGGUCUUGAAUUUUCCGGAGGUCAGCGGAAUAUGUCAUGUAGCGGUGAAAUGCUUAGAUAUGACAUAGAACACCGAUUGCGAAGGCAGCUGACUACAGGGAUAUUGACACUGAGGCACGAAAGCGUGGGGAUCAAACAGG
rnacentral:rRNA from 1 species